rnacentral:rRNA from 1 species
GACGAACGCUGGCGGCGUGCUUAACACAUGCAAGUCGAACGAUGAAACCUAGCUUGCUAGGUUGAUUAGUGGCGAACGGGUGAGUAACACGUGACUAACCUGCCCCUUUCUCUGGGAUAACGCUCCGAAAGGAGUGCUAAUACCGGAUACUCACACCGACGCACAUGCCUUGGUUGGGAAAGUUUUUCGGAAAGGGAGGGAGUCGCGGCCUAUCAGAUUGUUGGUGGGGAAACGGCUCACCAAGGCGACGACGGGUAGCCGGCCUGAGAGGGCGACCGGCCACACUGGGACUGAGACACGGCCCAGACUCCUACGGGAGGCAGCAGUGGGGAAUAUUGCACAAUGGGCGCAAGCCUGAUGCAGCGACGCCGCGUGAGGGAUGAAGGUCUUCGGAUUGUAAACCUCUUUCAGUAGGGACGAAGCGAAAGUGACGGUACCUAAAGAAGAAGCACCGGCUAACUACGUGCCAGCCGCCGCAGUAA